CACCUGUACCCAUGCCGAACACAGAAG
rnacentral:rRNA from 1 species